CAAUAGCGUAUAUUAAAGUUGUUGCAGUUAAAAAGCUCGUAGUUGAAUUUCUGUCAGGAGUGACCGGGCCUUUGGAUGAACUUCCAUUGUUUUUUGCUCUGUUUGUCGUCUCUAGACAUCCUGAAAUAUUUUUUAAAAAUAUUUCUCUUUUACUGUUAGCAAAAUAGAGUGUUCCAAGCAAAGCGUAGUUUUGAAUACAUUAGAAUGGAAUAAUAAGAUAGGACUUUGGUGCUAUUUUGUUGGUUUGCACACCAAGGUAAUGAUUAAUAGGGACAGUUGGGGGUAUUCGUAUUUAAUUGUCAGAGGUGAAAUUCUUGGAUUUAUGAAAGACGAACUACUGCGAAAGCAUUUACCAAGGAUGUUUUCAUUAA
rnacentral:rRNA from 1 species